rnacentral:rRNA from 1 species
GAUGAACGCUGGCGGCGUGCUUAACACAUGCAAGUCGAACGGAAAGGCUCCUGCUUGCAGGGGUACUCGAGUGGCGAACGGGUGAGUAACACGUGGGUGAUCUGCCCUGCACUUCGGGAUAAGCCUUGGAAACUGGGUCUAAUACCGGAUAGGACGAUGGUUUGGAUGCCAUUGUGGAAAGUUUUUCGGUGUGGGAUGAGCUCGCGGCCUAUCAGCUUGUUGGUGGGGUAAUGGCCUACCAAGGCGUCGACGGGUAGCCGGCCUGAGAGGGUGUACGGCCACAUUGGGACUGAGAUACGGCCCAGUCUCCUACGGGAGGCAGCAGUGGGGAAUAUUGCACAAUGGGCGCAAGCCUGAUGCAGCGACGCCGCGUGGGGGAUGACGGCCUUCGGGUUGUAAACUCCUUUCGCUAGGGACGAAGCGCAAGUGACGGUACCUGGAGAAGAAGCACCGGCUAACUACGUG